rnacentral:lncRNA from 1 species
CUUGGUUCUUCCUCAGGGUGAUGGAAUGCUCCUAUAGUGUGGACCACAGGGUCAUCACUGUGAGAUUUGGAAGGUGAGGCUUCUGCCUGCCCCACUCCCAGCUUCUGGAUGGUUUCUGGACAGUAAGCUGAAUCAGGUAAAAAUGAAGAAAACUGGGAUGAGGUGGAUAUGUAAUGCAAUGGACAUGGAACUGUGAGACCUUAGAAGCCAAGUUAUCUGAGGCAAGGUACCCUGAAAGCCACAUUCUUUCCUUUAAUGGGACUGAAACAAAGACUUGAGGAAGCUGUAGGCCACAGUAACCAAAAGGAAAAUUAGGAUGGCAGAGCAAAGUUUCUGCUUCCUCAAAUCAAGUAAGGCUGGAACUGGUGGGCAGGAGAAGAGAAGGCACACAGGAGGAAGAUGCAGAAGGACAGUGAAUCCUCAGGACAAGAGGCAGCAUGGGGUGGUGGAUAAAUCGUGGACCAGGAGCGAAGCAAAGAUCUGCUCACCUGGGACACUCAUCAGGUUAUUGAAGGAGGACUCAAUAACAAGAGAGUCUCAAGAAAGCCAGUGGAAGGGAUAUAGCACAAAAAGCAGAAGACGCUUUGAUAAAGCUGCACUCAUGUUUAAGCUAGGGACCUUGUUUAUUUCUUCAGCUCCAAGUUCAUACACUUUCAGCCACAGGUGUGUGCAGGACUCCCUUACAGGAUAUCCUGGCUGUGCAUGUAUAUGUGUGUGUGUGUGCGCGCCUGUGAGACCCAAAGACAGACAGGACUUGGGAAGGAGGGAGAGAGAAAAAGAGAGAGAGAGAGGAGAGUAAGAUACAGAUAAAGGCACAGACAGACAGAAAACUAUUCACAGAGAGAUAAAGUUACACAGAAACAGACCUGGACAGACAGAAACCAAGCCUGCAGAAACCAAUAUGUUUAUAGAAGGGAAGAUAGAAAAAUAGACACAGAGAAAUAGAAAGAGAUGUGGUCAGCCAAAACAUAUUUGGUGACGAUAGCCUAACAAGACUUAUUACACAACACAAUGUAUGAAUCUUAUUUAGAUACUCAUCUGAAU